AACUGCGAAUACCGGAGAAUGUUAUCACGGGAGACACACGGCGGGUGCUAACGUCCGUCGUGAAGAGGGAAACAACCCAGACCGCCAGCUAAGGUCCCAAAGUCAUGGUUAAGUGGGAAACGAUGUGGGAAGGCCCAGACAGCCAGGAUGUUGGCUUAGAAGCAGCCAUCAUUUAAAGAAAGCGUAAUAGCUCACUGGUCGAGUCGGCCUGCGCGGAAGAUGUAACGGGGCUAAACCAUGCACCGAAGCUGCGGCAGCGACGCUUAUGCGUUGUUGGGUAGGGGAGCGUUCUGUAAGCCUGUGAAGGUGUGCUGUGAGGCAUGCUGGAGGUAUCAGAAGUGCGAAUGCUGACAUAAGUAACGAUAAAGCGGGUGAAAAGCCCGCUCGCCGGAAGACCAAGGGUUCCUGUCCAACGUUAAUCGGGGCAGGGUGAGUCGACCCCUAAGGCGAGGCCGAAAGGCGUAGUCGAUGGGAAACAGGUUAAUAUUCCUGUACUUGGUGUUACUGCGAAGGGGGGACGGAGAAGGCUAUGUUGGCCGGGCGACGGUUGUCCCGGUUUAAGCGUGUAGGCUGGUUUUCCAGGCAAAUCCGGAAAAUCAAGGCUGAGGCGUGAUGACGAGGCACUACGGUGCUGAAGCAACAAAUGCCCUGCUUCCAGGAAAAGCCUCUAAGCAUCAGGUAACAUCAAAUCGUACCCCAAACCGACACAGGUGGUCAGGUAGAGAAUACCAAGGCGCUUGAGAGAACUCGGGUGAAGGAACUAGGCAAAAUGGUGCCGUAACUUCGGGAGAAGGCACGCUGAUAUGUAGGUGAAGUCCCUCGCGGAUGGAGCUGAAAUCAGUCGAAGAUACCAGCUGGCUGCAACUGUUUAUUAAAAACACAGCACUGUGCAAACACGAAAGUGGACGUAUACGGUGUGACGCCUGCCCGGUGCCGGAAGGUUAAUUGAUGGGGUCAGCGCAAGCGAAGCUCUUGAUCGAAGCCCCGGUAAACGGCGGCCGUAACUAUAACGGUCCUAAGGUAGCGAAAUUCCUUGUCGGGUAAGUUCCGACCUGCACGAAUGGCGUAAUGAUGGCCAGGCUGUCUCCACCCGAGACUCAGUGAAAUUGAACUCGCUGUGAAGAUGCAGUGUACCCGCGGCAAGACGGAAAGACCCCGUGAACCUUUACUAUAGCUUGACACUGAACAUUGAGCCUUGAUGUGUAGGAUAGGUGGGAGGCUUAGAAGUGUGGACGCCAGUCUGCAUGGAGCCGACCUUGAAAUACCACCCUUUAAUGUUUGAUGUUCUAACGUUGACCCGUAAUCCGGGUUGCGGACAGUGUCUGGUGGGUAGUUUGACUGGGGCGGUCUCCUCCUAAAGAGUAACGGAGGAGCACGAAGGUUGGCUAAUCCUGGUCGGACAUCAGGAGGUUAGUGCAAUGGCAUAAGCCAGCUUGACUGCGAGCGUGACGGCGCGAGCAGGUGCGAAAGCAGGUCAUAGUGAUCCGGUGGUUCUGAAUGGAAGGGCCAUCGCUCAACGGAUAAAAGGUACUCCGGGGAUAACAGGCUGAUACCGCCCAAGAGUUCAUAUCGACGGCGGUGUUUGGCACCUCGAUGUCGGCUCAUCACAUCCUGGGGCUGAAGUAGGUCCCAAGGGUAUGGCUGUUCGCCAUUUAAAGUGGUACGCGAGCUGGGUUUAGAACGUCGUGAGACAGUUCGGUCCCUAUCUGCCGUGGGCGCUGGAGAACUGAGGGGGGCUGCUCCUAGUACGAGAGGACCGGAGUGGACGCAUCACUGGUGUUCGGGUUGUCAUGCCAAUGGCACUGCCCGGUAGCUAAAUGCGGAAGAGAUAAGUGCUGAAAGCAUCUAAGCACGAAACUUGCC
rnacentral:rRNA from 1 species